rnacentral:rRNA from 1 species
UUUUUAGGAAAUACAGGAUUCGAGGUGACCUGCGGAAGGGAUCAUUACCAAUGCAGCGAGAAAUCGCUUACCAACCACCUGCUGGCGGGCCUCAUGGGCUGCCAACUGGUCAACCCUUUGUGAACCAAAAAACCUUUCGCUUCGGCAGCUGGGCUCCCUAACCGGGCCUGUCAGCCUGCCGCUAGCACCCAACCAAAAACCUGUUGUCAAACAUUGUCUGAUAACCAAAAUUUUCGAAUGAAAAUCAAAACUUUCAACAACGGAUCUCUUGGUUCCCGCAUCGAUGAAGAACGCAGCGAAACGCGAUAGUUAAUGUGAAUUGCAGAAUUCAGUGAAUCAUCGAGUCUUUGAACGCACAUUGCGCCCAUUGGUAUUCCUUUGGGCAUGUCUGUUUGAGCGUCAUUACAACCCCUCAGCUACCGCUGGUUUUGAAUUGGAACGGGUAACACCGCGCCGGUUUUAAAGUUGUAAGCUCUGCUGGCCGCUCUGCCCCAACCAGAACAUAGUAAGCAACUACUUGUUAGGGUGAAGCUGAACGGUACGGCCUGAACAAAACCUACCCUUCUCAAGGUUUGACCUCAGAUCAGACAAGGAUACCCGCUGAACUUAAGCAUAUCAAUAAGCGGAGGAAAAGAAACCAACAGGGAUUGCCUCAGUAACGGCGAGUGAAGCGGCAACAGCUCAAAUUUGAAAUCUGGAGUCUUUCGGCUUCCGAGUUGUAAUUUGAAGAGGAUGUUUCGGUGCGACCUGGGCCUAAGUUCCUUGGAACAGGACGUCAUGGAGGGUGAGAAUCCCGUACAUGGCUGCAGGUUUGCUUCUAUGUGAAACUCCUUCGAAGAGUCGAGUUGUUUUGGGAAUGCAGCUCAAAAUGGGUGGUAAAUUUCAUCUAAAGCUAAAUAUUUGGCGGGGAGACCGAUAGCGCACAAGUAGAGUGAUCGAAAGAUGAAAAGCACUUUGAAAAGAGAGUUAAACAGUACGUGAAAUUGUUUGAAAGGGAAGCGCUUGCAAUCAGACUCGCCUUCAGUUGAUCAGCCUUCCUUCUGGUUGGUGCACUCUGCUGUUGGGCGGGCCAGCAUCAGUUGGGGCGGUGGGACAAAGGCAGCAGGAAUGUGGCUCGCUUCGAUGAGUGUUAUAGCCUGCUGUGUCAUGCCACCAGUUCCCGACUGAGGUCCGCGGUUCGCCUAGGAUGCUGCUUAGGGUUAACCCCCUUAAAGGAAA